rnacentral:rRNA from 1 species
GAUGAACGCUAGCGACAGGCCUAACACAUGCAAGUCGAGGGGUAACAUUAUUAAAGCUUGCUUUGAUAGAUGACGACCGGCGCACGGGUGCGUAACGCGUAUGCAACCUACCCAUUACAGGAGGAUAGCCCAGAGAAAUUUGGAUUAAUACUCCAUAGUAUUUACUAAAAGCAUUUUUAGUAUUUUAAAAGAUUCGUCUGGUAAUGGAUGGGCAUGCGUAUGAUUAGUUAGUUGGUAGGGUAACGGCCUACCAAGACGACGAUCAUUAGGGGUUCUGAGAGGAUAGUCCCCCACACUGGUACUGAGACACGGACCAGACUCCUACGGGAGGCAGCAGUGAGGAAUAUUGGUCAAUGGGCGAGAGCCUGAACCAGCCAAGUCGCGUGCAGGAAGACUGCCCUAUGGGUUGUAAACUGCUUUUAUAUAGGAAUAAUUGUUUCUACGUGUAGGAAUUUGAAUGUACUAUAUGAAUAAGCACCGGCUAACUCCGUGCCAGCAGCCGCGGUAAUACGGAGGGUGCAAGCGUUAUCCGGAUUUAUUGGGUUUAAAGGGUGCGUAGGCGGGUUCAUAAGUCAGUGGUGAAAGUCUGUCGCUUAACGAUAGAAUUGCCAUUGAAACUGUGGACCUUGAAUACAGUAGAGGUAGGCGGAAUAUAUUGUGUAGCGGUGAAAUGCAUAGAUACGAUAUAGAACACCUAUUGCGAAGGCAGCUUACUAUGCUGUAAUUGACGCUGAUGCACGAAAGCGUGGGGAGCGAACAGG